UGCCGGAUCGUCUAAUGGUAGGACGGAUGACUCUGAAUCAUCUGGUCAAGGUUCGAAUCCUUGUCCGGCAGCCA
rnacentral:tRNA from 1 species